rnacentral:rRNA from 1 species
GGAAGAGAAAGAAAAUUCGAUUCCCUUAGUAGCGGCGAGCGAAACGGGAAGAGCCCAAACCAACAAGCUUGCUUGUUGGGGUUGUAGGACACUCUAUACGGAGUUACAAAGGACGACAUUAGACGAAUCAUCUGGAAAGAUGAAUCAAAGAAGGUAAUAAUCCUGUAGUCGAAAAUGUUGUCUCUCUUGAGUGGAUCCUGAGUACGACGGAGCACGUGAAAUUCCGUCGGAAUCUGGGAGGACCAUCUCCUAAGGCUAAAUACUCUCUAGUGACCGAUAGUGAACCAGUACCGUGAGGGAAAGGUGAAAAGCACCCCGGAAGGGGAGUGAAAUAGAACCUGAAACCGUGUGCUUACAAGUAGUCAGAGCCCGUUAAUGGGUGAUGGCGUGCCUUUUGUAGAAUGAACCGGCGAGUUACGAUUUGAUGCAAGGUUAAGCAGUAA